rnacentral:rRNA from 1 species
GUGGGGAAUUUUGGACAAUGGGCGCAAGCCUGAUCCAGCAAUGCCGCGUGCAGGAAGAAGGCCUUCGGGUUGUAAACUGCUUUUGUACGGAACGAAAAGGCUCUGGUUAAUACCUGGGGCUCAUGACGGUACCGUAAGAAUAAGCACCGGCUAACUACGUGCCAGCAGCCGCGGUAAUACGUAGGGUGCAAGCGUUAAUCGGAAUUACUGGGCGUAAAGCGUGCGCAGGCGGUUUUGUAAGACAGACGUGAAAUCCCCGGGCUCAACCUGGGAAUGGCGUUUGUGACUGCAAAGCUGGAGUGCGGCAGAGGGGGAUGGAAUUCCGCGUGUAGCAGUGAAAUGCGUAGAUAUGCGGAGGAACACCGAUGGCGAAGGCAAUCCCCUGGGCCUGCACUGACGCUCAUACACGAAAGCGUGGGGAGCAAACAGGAUUAGAUACCCCAGUAGUCC